rnacentral:rRNA from 1 species
UACAGAGGGGGCAAGCGUUGUUCGGAAUUACUGGGCGUAAAGGGCUCGUAGGCGGCCAUCUAAGUCGAACGUGAAAUCCCCGGGCUCAACCCGGGAACUGCGUCCGAUACUGGUUGGCUUGAAUCCGGGAGAGGGAUGCGGAAUUCCAGGUGUAGCGGUGAAAUGCGUAGAUAUCUGGAGGAACACCGGUGGCGAAGGCGGCAUCCUGGACCGGCAUUGACGCUGAGGCGCGAAAGCCAGGGGAGCAAACGGG